rnacentral:rRNA from 1 species
ACGACUGCUAAGACUGGAUAGGAAGAUAAAAGGCAUCUUGUAUCUUUUAAAAGACCUAGUUAAUAGGUAUGCUUUAGGAGGGGCUUGCGCCAUAUUAGUUAGUUGGUAGGGUAAUGGCCUACCAAGACAAUGAUGUGUAGCUGGACUGAGAGGUUGAACAGCCACAUUGGGACUGAGACACGGCCCAAACUCCUACGGGAGGCAGCAGUAGGGAAUUUUCGGCAAUGGAGGAAACUCUGACCGAGCAACGCCGCGUGAAUGACGAAGUACUUCGGUAUGUAAAGUUCUUUUAUCGAGGAAGAAAAGCAAAUGGCGAACCAUUUGUUUGCCGGUACUUGAUGAAUAAGCCCCGGCUAAUUAUGUGCCAGCAGCCGCGGUAAGACAUAAGGGGCAAGUGUUAUCCGGAAUUAUUGGGCGUAAAGGGUGCGUAGGCGGUCUAGUAAGUCAGUGGUGUAAUGUCAACGCUUAACGUUGUCCGGCUAUUGAAACUGCUAAACUUGAGUUAGAUAGAGGCGAGUGGAAUUCCAUGUGUAGCGGUAAAAUGCGUAAAUAUAUGGAGGAACACCAGAGGCGUAGGCGGCUCGCUGGGUCUUAACUGACGCUGAGGCACGAAAGCGUGGGGAGCAAACAGGAUUAGAUACCCUGGUAGUCCACGCCGUAAACGAUGAGUACUAAGUGUCGGGUUAAACCGGUACUGAAGUUAACACAUUAAGUACUCCGCCUGAGUAGUACGUACGCAAGUAUGAAACUUAAAGGAAUUGACGGGACUCCGCACAAGCGGUGGAUCAUGUUGUUUAAUUCGAAGAUACCCGAAAAACCUUACCAGGUCUUGACAUGUUUUUGCAAAAUGAUAGUAAUAUCGUGGAGGUUACCAGAAACACAGGUGGUGCAUGGUUGUCGUCAGCUCGUGUCGUGAGAUGUUAGGUUAAGUCCUAAAACGAGCGAAACCCUUAUCGUUAGUUGCCAGCACGUUAUGGUGGGGACUUUAACGAGACUGCCAAUGAUAAAUUGGAGGAAGGUGAGGAUCACGUCAAAUCAGCAUGCCCCUUAUGACCUGGGCUACAAACGUGAUACAAUGGCUGUUACAAAGGGUAGCUGAAACGCAAGUUCUUGGCCAAUCCCCAAAAACAGUCCCAGUCCGGAUUGAAGUCUGCAACUCGACUUCAUGAAGUUGGAAUCGCUAGUAAUCGCGAAUCAGCAUGUCGCGGUGAAUACGUUGACGGGGUUUGUACACACCGCCCGUCA